rnacentral:tRNA from 1 species
AGUCCUGAAAGACUCAAGUUGCAAACCUGAGCAAGCAUAAUAAAAGGUGCCGGGGCUU